GUACUGCACUGAAAACUACUCUUGGUUCACAGCAGCAAAAGCAAAAGUGUGACUGGGAUGAGCCUUCCCAUGAGGUUCUUAGUCCUUAUCUCCCCAAGUCCAAAAUUCCUCUGACUGCAAGAUCUUCUAAGAUAGUAAUUCCUUCCAGCAUUGCCAACUUUUACAGUUUCAUCAUAAAUCUGCUGGAGCUGGAUUUGCGUUAAGAUGAAACACAUUAGUCGUCAUGCUCUGUUCUUGCCUGCCUGGGGGAAAAGCCUGUUUGGGUUGGAUACCUUUCCUGCAUUUCUUCCAGCAAAAUAUGGGUGCUGGGGAGAGCAGGCAAUGCUCAGUCCCCAUCCCAUGAGGAACUGAGAGGAACUGGGAGAUAAAAGAAGGGGGCAAAAGGAAGAAACCAGUCUUAUGGGUCACAAAAUAUCUUUGCCCUGCUCUGAACAACAGAGGAAGAAUGUUCCUGUCAGCUGCAAAGCCAUGAGGGAGAGUGAGAGAGAAAACAAAAUCUGCAGCUGUAGAGGGACAGUGGCUUGAGGAAAACAGAGGUGCGUAGGCAAAAGAGGGAAGAUCAGUUAUGCAACCAUGAGUUUUGGGGACAGCUAAGAGUCGUGUAUCAUCAGAGAGCAUCUUGUGCCAAACCACAACCUUUAUUUUGUUCUAGUGAGAGUUUCGGUGAGUCUGGGAGUGCUGGUGAGGUUGUCUGUCAAACUAGGGAGGAAACUAGCAGAGAAGUUUAAAUGUCAACAGGCGGGAUAACAGCUAUUUUUAAAAUGCCUGAUGGUAGAAGCCAUCACCAGGAGGCUGCACUGGACUGGCUUUGGGUGCUGUGCUGCAGCAGAGACCCUCCUGUCAGCAAAGCAGGUGUAGCACAAUUGCUUCACACAUCAGGUUCCAUUGGCUGGGAAGUUAGCAGCCCCACCAGGGAGGAUUUCAGGCCAUUUUUGUCACUCUGAUGUGCAACUGCAUGGCUUGUGGGAGGGGCAUUGUAUUAUUUUUGUUACUUUACCUCCCUUUGCCUUUGGGAGACACCUGGUUUUGAGGGAAGCUAGCUCUCUCCUGAGGGGAACCUUUCUCUGCAGUCACUUAAUUGUUUGCUCCCAGCCAGGUUUGCUUAAUUAUCAGUUUGGGCUGAAAGUUAGCCAGGUGAGAGCUGCCCAGGCAACCUGUGCUCCUGAGCUCCCCUCACAGUACCUCAGCAAUGAGCGAGCUUCCAGUGCCUGGGGCAAACCAUUGUGUGGCAGCAGGUGGGAGGGGAAGGGCCGCCGGGCGUGGCGAGGCAGGUGCGUUAAAUGGCUGACCUGCUUAAUCCUGCCAGCUUCACACGGAUAUUUCAGUGUGAGUGAUAAGGCAUUUCUGCAGCACAGAGGGAACGUGCUGUGGAGUUGCACCUCAGAGAGGGGCACAGUUGCAUGGGGCAGCGUUCUUGUGGGCUGCAAGGUUAAUCCUGCAGCUCCCACAGCUCCCUCCUUCACGGGAUGGGCCUUCACAGGAUGGGCAGUCACGGAGCUGUUGAGGUUGCAGGAGAAUUGCUGAAGUUACUGAGUGACACAUUUGAGCACUGGAAUGAACGUAAGGUGAAGCAAGGGAAGGAAGCAAUUACAACUCUUCUUUAAAUGCACGUCAAUCCCAGGGAGAAGUCCAAGCUGGUAUAUGCUACCUGAGAGAAAUUACAUUGAUAACUUGUGAAAGAGGGGUGCUGCCUGCAAACACUGCCUGUAUCAGAAGCAGACCCACACUUCAGAAAUUGCCAUGUGAUACCUUAAAAGAGUCCCUAAAAACUCUCAUCUCAUAUCCAGGAUUUUCAGUUAUACAGGUACUGGUGAUGAGAACUUCAGGCUAUCUUCACAUUUCCUGACUUUUACCACAGAUGUGUAUUCAUUGUUUGUUUGUCAUUGUUCACCUAUCCAAAGUAUUUCAGAGAAUAGUAUCUUCUACUGAAGCAGAGUUUUUAAUUGAGACUUGGUUGGAUUCCUUCAUAUUUUCAAUCGAGCUUUGUUGGGUUACAGUCUGGAAAUGAAAAAAAAAUAAUUCACAGGAGUAUUUUGUAUGGUGGCUCCUAAAAACCACAUCAAGCUUCUGGGACCCUUUCCAUUAGCCUGGACUGGAGGAGAAGAGUCUUCGAAAUUCCUACUGUUGAAUUGGAAAAGGAUACAAAGGGUGACGAUGGUGAAGCACAAAAGUGAAACACCCAGUUUAGUGCUCUGUACCUGGUCAUAGCAGGAGUGGGGCCCUCCCCGCUACCCUGCCUUUGGUGUGGAGUAAGGAGGCUGAGGCUGGCUGUAGGACAGUGCUGGGUGGUUAGUUGUUCAACUUACUGAGCAAAUUUGAGCAAAAUCUCAGUCAGUUUCACUAACAGUGGGGGAAAACAAAAAUAGUUGGGGAAUGCAGGUGCAUGUGUGUAUGGUGUCAUUCUGCAGAACACAGAUGCUCAGGCUCGACUGUGCCGGAAACUGUUCCGAUAAUGAAAAUGUAACUUGCGUCUUUGGGCCCCUGACAGAUCAGAUGAUCUUGUAUGUGUGGGAAUGGUCACUUUAGUGGUAAAGGUAAGGUCUAAUUUUUGCUGCAUAUUUGAUGUUAAUUACUGGAUAGAAAUCUUUUUUUAUUUUUCUCAAAUAAAGAGUAAGUUUCUGAUUGAAGUAUUUGUGAA
rnacentral:lncRNA from 1 species